rnacentral:lncRNA from 1 species
GCACAGAAGACGAAGAGCUGGAAUAGAGCUCGCCUCGGCUCUGCUGGCCUUGGCUGCAGCUCUUCCAGAAACCCGGGGCGCCCACAGAAGAAUCUCUUACCUGGCUCUCUCUUCAGGGAUGACAUCAUCGGCUCACACCAGUCUUCCAGGACCACCUUCUGGAUGCCAAGGCUGCUGCUCGAGUACCUGCUGUGCACCUCUACCUCCUGGUACCCCAGCCACUCCCUCAAGUUGCCUGCAUGUUAUAUGGCCUAGCCAAGGAGCACGGAUUCCAGGAACCCACUACCAUACAGAGCAACUCCUUGUGGACCCCCCUGGGAUCAGGACAGCGAGGGACAAGCGACAAAGAGGAUCAUCAGUGGCCAGCUAGUUUCUCUGGGGUUCAAACCUUGAACCAGUGCCCUAGUGAGGGGGCACUGGCCAUGGCCCUUGACCUUUGCUCUGCUUGUGUCUUGAGUCUGAGCCCUUUCCUGUACAUCUGUGCUCGUGUUCAUCUGCUAGUGAACUGGAGUGCUGCCCUCCCCGAGGAGGGUCGUCCCUUGUGACUGAUCAUGCUGUCCUAACAAUGUCCUGAGCAAAAGGGUCCCUUUGGGAACCUCUCAGGAGGGGGACCCGGGUCAGGGGCGACCAGCAUCUUGCUGGCAACUCCGUGGGUGGGGUGGGGUGGGGUGCUUCCUUCUGGAAUGAGCACGUGGCUGACCCCCCAAGGCAUGUCCCCUCCCCCUCCUCCACCCACCUUCUCGGAGAUGUCCCUUUUGGGGUAGUGGGGACAUUAGGAGCAACCUCCUAGGGUUGUUGUGAGAAUUAAAUGAACUGCAGCAGCCUGAGGCAGGGCUGGGCAGAGACCUCAGCACAUGUUUGUUGAAAGGUUUGCAGGUGGAUCUAGUCCUCCCGUUCAUGGCUCAUGUGUCUCAACCAUUCUCUCGCAGACUCCUGCAGCCCCUAUGCCCAGGGCUCUCCUUGCGCCAGCCCCGGCUUCUCGAGGCCUGUCUACACUCGCUGCUUUCCUUCCUCACCUCCAAUUUCCCCUCCAACCCACUGCUUCCUGACUCGCUCUUCUCCAUCGAACGGCUCUCGCUCAGCUGGCAUUGCCCACCGGCCAUGCCGGCUGAAGAAAAGAAGACUGAGGACCCCAGGAUGCCCAGCGCGAGGACCCCAGGAAGCCCAGCGCGAGGACUCCACCCACGACGCCCAGCGCGAGGACUUCACGCACAACACGUUGCAACCCUCCUGGAUUAGGCCAAAGCCAUCAUCUGGAAUCCUGCGUGGGACCCUGGACACACGGACACAGACACCUGCCCCCAGGACCCUCCAACUGUAAAUCCCUCUACAGCCACGGGGACGCCUUGCACAUUUCCUGUGGGACAUGCUGGACCCAAGACUCUGGACCCUGGCCUCCCCUUGAGUAGAGAGACCCACCUACUGACUGAUGAACUGCGCUGACCCUGGGGUCAGGCAUGUGGCCUUGAUCCCUACCCAUGGACCCUGAGACUUGGGGGGGUGGGAGAAAGGCUGUUGUGUCUUCACUGUUGAGUCUACAUCUGUGAAAUGGGCUCAGGUUCCUACCUCACAGGGCUGUUGUGAGGCAGCCGCAAUGUGCUUAGAAGCAUGGGGCCUAGUGGCUCAUGGUGCUUUCAAUAAAUUUCUUGUUUUAACUAAA